rnacentral:rRNA from 1 species
UACGGGGGGAGCAAGCGUUGUUCGGAUUUACUGGGCGUAAAGGGCGCGUAGGCGGCCACCGCAAGUCAGUUGUGAAAGCUCUGGGCUUAACCCAGAAAGGUCAGCUGAUACUGCGGGCUAGAGUGCAGAAGGGGCAACUGGAAUUCUCGGUGUAGCGGUGAAAUGCGUAGAUAUCGAGAGGAACACCUGCGGCGAAGGCGGGUGCUGGGCUGACACUGACGCUGACAGCGCGAAAGCUAGGGAGCGAAGCGGG